GGUUUAAUUCGAUGAUACGCGAGGAACUUACCAGGGCUUAAAUGAGGAACGACAGGCUGGGAAACCGGCUCUCCUUCGGGCGUUCCUCAAGGUGCUGCAUGGUUGUCGUCAGCUCGUGCCGUGAGGUGUUGGGUUAAGUCCCGCAACGAGCGCAACCCCUACCGUUAGUUGCCAGCAUGUUAAGAUGGGGACUCUAACGGGAACUGCCGGCGCAAGCCGUGA
rnacentral:rRNA from 1 species